UUAACAAAAACAUGUCUUUUUGUUUAAAUUUUAAAGUCUGAUCUGCCCAAUGAAAAAUUAAAUGGCCGCGAUAUUUUGAUCGUGCGAAGGUAGCAUAAUCAUUAGCUUUUUAAUUGAGAGCUGGAAUGAACGAUUGGACGAGAAGUUAGCUGUCUCGUUUUUAUUUUUUGAAUUUUAUUUUUGAGUUAAAAAGCUUAAAUAUUGGUGUGGGACGAGAAGACCCUAUAGAGUUUAAUACUUUUGUUAAUUAUUAAUAAUUAAGAAUUAAUUAUUUUUAUUUAACUGAGUAUUUAGUUGGGGUGAUGGAAAAAUUUAAUUAACUUUUUCUUUUUAAAAUAUUGAUUGAUAGAUAGUUGACUUAUAUUUUUAGUUAAAAGAUUAAAUUACCUUAGGGAUAACAGCGUUAUUUUUCUUGAGAGUUCUAAUCGAAAGGAAAGGUUGCGACCUCGAUGUUGGAUUAAAGUUAAAUUCUUGGUGUAGAAGCUAAGCUAUUUAGUCUGUUCGACUAUUAAAACUUUACAUGAUCUGAGUU
rnacentral:rRNA from 1 species